UGGGAAGUCGUCCAACGGCAGGACAUCAGACUCUGGAUCUGGUUAUCGGGGUUCGAAUCCCUGCUUCCCAGCAA
rnacentral:tRNA from 1 species